AGGACGAACGCUGGCGGCGUGCUUAACACAUGCAAGUCGAGCGGAAAGGCCCUUCGGGGUACUCGAGCGGCGAACGGGUGAGUAACACGUGAGUAAUCUGCCCCUAGCUCUGGGAUAGCUCCGGGAAACCGGGAUUAAAUACCAGAUACGACCACUUUAGACAUCUGUUGUGGUGGAAAGAAUUUCGGCUAGGGAUGAGCUCGCGGCCUAUCAGCUUGUUGGUGAGGUAACGGCUCACCAAGGCGACGACGGGUAGCCGGCCUGAGAGGGCGACCGGCCACACUGGGACUGAGACACGGCCCAGACUCCUACGGGAGGCAGCAGUGGGGAAUAUUGCGCAAUGGGCGAAAAGCCUGACGCAGCGACGCCGCGUGGGGGAUGAAGGCCUUCGGUUGUAAACCCUUUCAGCAGGACGAAGCGAAAGUGACGGUACCUGCAGAAGAAGCGCCGGCUAACUACGUGCCAGCAGCCGC
rnacentral:rRNA from 1 species